AAACAUUUGGGAAGUUUUGAAGUAUAACCGUUAACUGGACGCUUAGGUUAUAUGGAGCUAGUAGUGUAACCGACCCAUGGUA
rnacentral:ncRNA from 2 species